GACGAACGCUGGCGGCGUGCCUAAUACAUGCAAGUCGAACGCUGAAGAGAGGAGCUUGCUCUUCUUGGAUGAGUUGCGAACGGGUGAGUAACGCGUAGGUAACCUGCCUUGUAGCGGGGGAUAACUAUUGGAAACGAUAGCUAAUACCGCAUAACCAUGGAUGACACAUGUCAUUUAUUUGAAAGGGGCAAUUGCUCCACUACAAGAUGGACCUGCGUUGUAUUAGCUAGUAGGUGAGGUAACGGCUCACCUAGGCGACGAUACAUAGCCGACCUGAGAGGGUGAUCGGCCACACUGGGACUGAGACACGGCCCAGACUCCUACGGGAGGCAGCAGUAGGGAAUCUUCGGCAAUGGGGGCAACCCUGACCGAGCAACGCCGCGUGAGUGAAGAAGGGUUUCGGAUCGUAAAGCUCUGUUGUAAGUCAAGAACGAGUGUGAGAGUGGAAAGUUCACACUGUGACGGUAGCUUACCAGAAAGGGACGGCUAACUACGUG
rnacentral:rRNA from 1 species